rnacentral:lncRNA from 1 species
UCGCUUUCAAUUUCAAUGCUUCCUAUAUUAAGCUGCCAUGCAAGAGAUAAUCCAUUCCUAAUUGCUCAUAGCUCCGCUUGAGCACUCAUGACCAAUUGGAUACGUCUAUGAAAACCACAAACUCAUUCUCCCUUAUGAAUCUUUGAAAUAGUCCCCGCUCCACCUUUGCCCAGAUUGUCGAUGAAGAAACCAUCAGUAACCCUCAAACUUCUCUCCCAUACAUCCUUGGUCUCAAAAAAAUCAUUGCCAAAAAUCUUCUUGUUCCUUCUAUUCCAAAAGCAC